AAAACUCACCAGGUCAGGACACGGUAAGGAUUGACGGACUGAAGGCUCUUUCUCGAUUCCGUGGAAAGUGGUGCAUGGUCCGUUUUUGGUUGGUGGAUCGAUCCGUCUGGUUAAUUCCGUUAACGAACGAGACCUCGGCACUCCGAAUAGCGCGGCGGACGUCGCGGCCUCCGGGCCGUCUUCCGCACGAGCUUCUUAGAGGGACCGUCCCCCGCCGGGGAAGGAGGUGCGAGGCAACGACAGGUCUGUGAUGCCCUUAGAUGUUCUGGGCCGCACGCGCAUUACACUGACGCGUCCAACGGGUGACUCCCGACCCGAAGGGGCCGGGGAAUCCGCAAGGCGCGUCGUGAUGGGGAUUGAACGUUGCAAUUGUUGUUCACGAACGAGGAAUUCCUAGUAGGCGCGGGUCAUCAACCCGCGCCGAUUACGUCCCCUGCCCUUUGUACACACCGCCC
rnacentral:rRNA from 1 species